GGCUUUUCUCAGUGUCUGAGCUGAUGUGGCUCUUGAAAGCCUUUAACUUAGGGGUCAGUCAGCAAGAACUGACAGGGCUUGGUGUGUAAAAGAAGCUAGUCAUGGUAUCUGUCAUCUUCACGAGUAAGUUGUAGGUUUUGUACAGGUUGGGAUCAAGCAAUCUCAAUAGCUUUGACUAAAAUGUUAGAGGCAGAAAACUGGACCUAAGUGCAUGCAUGGAAAAACUGCCCACACCUCCAUGCUUGUCAGUGAAUUAAUUUGGUUCAGAAUGGGGAUAAGAGAUCAGAAACAGGAUGAAAAGUGAGAGCUAGGCUGCCUUGGAUUAUCUGAUGCUUGGGAUUUAAGAAAGUAUAUGGUCUGAUGACAAUCUACAGCCACAUACUUAGGCUUCUCAGCCGGUAGGUUUUGCAUGAAGAAAGUAUUUGCAGAGAUGUUUGUAAGAAAAAGAGCAGUUGGGCUGCCUGGGCUUCUCUUUAGAUUUUCAUUUCAGAAGACAAGCCCAAGCAGUGAACUCUGAAGUGUUCAAAUUCUGGUGUAGACAAGAAGUGAGGAGAUGUGGGCAGCACCUCAAAUCUCACAGCAUGUUUAUGGUCCCUUUGUUGCGCGCAGCCUGUCACAUGGCAUUUGAAAGCUUUUGUGAAAACAAUAGUAAGAAAAUUAUUUUCUAAAGAGGAAGCCUGAGAAAGAAAAGAUUUAGUCGUGGAACUCUGCUAUCCCCCAGCCUCUCUAUUUGUUUUGAUGGAAACUGAGUACAUUACAAGUUGAUUGCUUCUUUUUUUUCCAGGUUUCAAAGAUGGGGAUGCAGGAGGAUGGAAGCCAAGACCUCUGUGCAGAAGAAGCAGAGCCUUCCCCAAACUGGGAUGGCAAGAGUUGAAAGGAAGUUUUGCCUUCACAGCAGCUGCCAAAAUCAAACUCUUUUCAAGUGUUUUUGAUGUGACUUGCAGGAGGUGCAACUACUGGGAGCUGUGUGCAAACAGGAACCCUGCAGAUUUCUUCCAAUCCUGGCGACAAAGGUGUGACAUUUAUGAUUUGUGACUGUUAUUCCACACGUGUGAAUUGCUGAAAAAAACCCAAAAGCUUUUGAAAAGGCAACUUCCAUUUGUGACUGAUGCAGUUUGUAAAUGAGAAAGUGCCAACAUUGGAGUGCUGGCUGGUUUAGCUCAAGGUACCAACUGCUUCCCAGGAUGACCUGCUGCCUGGAGCUGACUGCUCCAAUGCUGUUAACAAUGCUCUUUCAAUAAGGGGAGUGUUAUUACUGCAUAGCUUUAUCUUGGCUAACAAUUAUGUGUGAAGUCACCGUACUUCUAGCAAAAAAAUGGGCAAACAGUGGAAAUUAAUCUCAUGGAAAACCAUUUUGAUGAGUCCAUAGUUUAUCUAGUUAGAUAUUUUGCCUCCAAUGAUGUUACGAACAGCCCUGGGAAAAAGGUAAACUGCCAAAUACAGAGACCAAGGAAAAAUUCCCUAAUUUAUAAUAUUGAGGUAUUUGUAUAAGUUUCUGUAACUGCCAGUGGUAAUUCACCUCAUGCCAUUAUUACUCCCAUUAGUGCCUUUUUAGCCAUCUCCUUGGUUAUUUUUCUCAAUCACAUCCUUCAACAGUGACUGUUCCAUAAGUUAAAUAUGUGAUAAGUAAGCCAUUUGCACUUCCAGUUUUAAUUUCACUGCAUUAGUUUAUAUAGGAGUCUCAGAUUUAUCCCAGGUAGAUUAUUCAUUAAUCCACUCCUGCUCGUCUUCAUGUGAGCUAACCUGUAGUACAGAAGCAAGAAGGCCCAUACAUCAAGGCAUUUUUGUUUCCAGUCUUGAUAAUGAUUCUUUCUGCUGCAUCUUUUGCAGUGAAGCAGCUGCAUCUGUGACACUAGAUUAAGAGGAUGCCUCUUUUUUUUUGACUCUAACAGUAUAAGGCUUUUAGUGUCAUUCUCUUUCACUUAACACACAUUUACAAUACAAAAAAUGUUCCACCUGGAAAGAUUUAAUAUUAAAAUACUCGUCAGUUUAAA